rnacentral:lncRNA from 1 species
UAGAAAAAAUAUACGUCCUGCUUCAUGCUACACAUGAUGGGGCAUUGAAAAGAGGAAUCCUCUUCCUGACUGAUGACACAAUUCAUUACAUCAUUACGGAGGCUGGAAUCUUAGUCUGGUUGUCCCGUGGAACCUCAUCGUUAGCCGAGGUAGCGGUCGUUCUGUGAGUUUCUCGACUAGUUGACGGUACUGUUAUUAUUUUCUUGUUGAUAUACUGGACGCAAAUCAAAUCGGCUAUAAAACCCUUUUAGCCUUCAUCUCGAUAAUGAAUUAGUUGAUCUCUCAAAUGAGGACUCCCUGACACUAUCCAAGUGGAAGUCGCGAUUUGCUUUCGUACAGUGUAUGUAUAUGGUACUACCUCAAGAUUGGAACGCGGGACAGAAGGGAAAUAAUGGCUGAACGUUGAACGAAAAAAAAUAAUUGAAUGGAACGCCAUAAUAGCGGAACUCUUACAAGCCUGAUUUUAACAGUAAUUUUGGAAAGAUUCACCAUUCUAGCCAAACUUACAUUCUUAUGGGUAUAAAUGGACUCAAGAGUUUUCAUUUCCAUGAGAAUAGUAGUCAUAAUCAGAUGAUUAAAAACCUGAGCACCUUCAAGAGCAUGAAAUCUCCAUAUAAGUCUUUUUUGAGUAUGUAUUGUUACUUUUUAAAGUUGUUUUACGUAUGGAGCAUUAUGACUUCCUUAAUUUUUGUAUUGAUUAAAAUACCAUAAAAUGA